rnacentral:rRNA from 1 species
GCGUGCUAAUCUGCGAUAAGCGCCGGUAAGGUGAUAUGAACCGUUAUAACCGGCGAUACCCGAAUGGGGAAACCCAGUGUGAUUCGUCACACUAUCAUUAACUGAAUCCAUAGGUUAAUGAGGCGAACCGGGGGAACUGAAACAUCUAAGUACCCCGAGGAAAAGAAAUCAACCGAGAUUCCCCCAGUAGCGGCGAGCGAACGGGGAGGAGCCCAGAGCCUGAAUCAGCAUGUGUGUUAGUGGAAGCGUCUGGAAAGGCGCGCGAUACAGGGUGACAGCCCCGUACACAAAAGCGCAUGUGCUGUGAGCUCGAUGAGUAGGGCGGGACACGUGGUAUCCUGUCUGAAUAUGGGGGGACCAUCCUCCAAGGCUAAAUACUCCUGACUGACCGAUAGUGAACCAGUACCGUGAGGGAAAGGCGAAAAGAACCCCGGCGAGGGGAGUGAAAAAGAACCUGAAACCGUGUACGUACAAGCAGUGGGAGCCCCACCACUAAGCCAGUGGUGAACUCCACAUCCGCAUCCUUUGCUGAGGAUACGGUUAACGGAGCGAAAGCGACGUUCAACCGCAAAACAAGCAGA